AGAGUUUGAUCAUGGCUCAGCCUGAACGCUGGCGGCGUGGCUAAGACAUGCAAGUCGCACGGUGUAGCGUAGCAAUACGCUGCACAGUGGCGAACGGGUGAGUAAUGAAUCGCUAAUGUACCCCGGAUUCUGGGAUAGCUAACCGAAAGGUUAGGUAAUACCAGAUGAUAUAACCGAACCGCAUGGUUUGGUUCUCAAAGGAGCAAUCCGCUCUGGGAGCAGGCGAUUUCGUAUCAGCUUGUUGGUGAGGUAAUGGCUCACCAAGGCGACGACGCGUAGCCGGACUGAGAGGUUGGCCGGCCACAUUGGGACUGAGACACUGCCCAGACUCCUACGGGGGGCUGCAGUAACGAAUCUUCCGCAAUGCACGAAAGUGUGACGGAGCGACGCCGCGUGUAGGACGAAGCCCUUCGGGGUGUAAACUACUGUCAGGGGUUAGAAAGUUCUGAUCAACCCCAGAGGAAGGGACGGCUAACUCUGUGCCAGCAGCCGCGGUAAGACAGAGGUCCCGAGCGUUAGGCGGAAUCACUGGGCUUAAAGCGUGUGUAGGCGGAUCUAUAAGUACCUUGUGAAAUCCCACGGCUUAACCGUGGAACUGCUUGGUAUACUGUAGAUCUUGAGCCACCUAGGGGCGAGCGGAACAAGUGGUGGAGCGGUGAAAUGCGUAGAUAUCACUUGGAACGCCAAUGGUGAAAACAGCUCGCUGGGGGUGUGCUGACGCUGAGACACGAAAGCCAGGGGAGCAAACGGGAUUAGAUACCCCGGUAGUCCUGGCUGUAAACGAUGUCGACUAGAUCGUGGUGGCUCUGACGCUAUCACGGUCGAAGCAAAAGUGCUAAGUCGACCGCCUGA
rnacentral:rRNA from 1 species